rnacentral:rRNA from 1 species
AGCAGCCGCGGUAAUUCCAGCUCCAAUAGCGUAUAUUAAAGUUGUUGCAGUUAAAAAGCUCGUAGUUGAAUUUCGGGAUCAAUAUGUUGGUCGUGCCUUGGUACGUACUGGCAUUAUUGGUUUUUACCUUCUGAAGAACCUCGAUGUCAUUAAUUUGGUGUCUUGGGGAAUCAGGACUGUUACUUUGAAAAAAUUAGAGUGUUUAAAGCAGGCUCGCGCUUGAAUACAUUAGCAUGGAAUAAUGAAAUAGGACGUUUGAUUCUAUUUUGUUGGUUUCUAGGAUUGACGUAAUGAUUAAUAGGGAUAGUUGGGGGCAUUAGUAUUCAAUUGUCAGAGGUGAAAUUCUUGGAUUUAUUGAAGACUAACUACUGCGAAAGCAUUUGCCAAGGAUGUUUUCAUUAAUCAAGAACGAAAGUUAGGGGAUCGAAGGCGAUCAGAUACCGUCGUAGUCUUAACCAUAAACUAUGCCGACUAGGGAUCGGAUGAUGU